GUGACAGGUGUUAUAGUGGUGAGCAUAGCUGCCUUCCAAGCAGUUGACCUGGGUUCGAUUCCCGGCCAAUACA